rnacentral:rRNA from 1 species
GACGAACGCUGGCGGCGUGCCUAAUACAUGCAAGUCGAGCGAGCUUGCCUAGAUGAUUUUGAUGCUUGCAUCAAAUGAAACUAGAUACAAGCUAGCGGCGGACGGGUGAGUAACACGUGGGUAACCUGCCCAAGAGACUGGGAUAACACCUGGAAACAGAUGCUAAUACCGGAUAACAACAAUAGACGCAUGUCUAGAGUUUGAAAGAUGGGUUUUCUAUCACUCUUGGAUGGACCUGCGGUGCAUUAGCUAGUUGGUAAGGUAACGGCUUACCAAGGAAAUGAUGCAUAGCAGAGUUGAGAGAAUGAUCGGCCACAUUGGGACUGAGACACGGCCCAAACUCCUACGGGAGGCAGCAGUAGGGAAUCUUCCACAUGGACGAAAGUCUGAUGGAGCAACGCCGCGUGAGUGAAGAAGGGUUUCGGCUCGUAAAGCUCUGUUGAUGGUGAAGAAAGAUAGAGGUAGUAACUGGCCUUUAUUUGACGGUAAUCAUUUAGAAAGUCACGGCUAACUACGUGCCAGCCGCCGCCGUAA